rnacentral:rRNA from 1 species
UGGGGAAUCUUGGACAAUGGGCGAAAGCCUGAUCCAGCCAUGCCGCGUGAGUGAUGAAGGCCCUAGGGUCGUAAAGCUCUUUCGCCAGGGAUGAUAAUGACAGUACCUGGUAAAGAAACCCCGGCUAACUCCGUGCCAGCAGCCGCGGUAAUACGGAGGGGGUUAGCGUUGUUCGGAAUUACUGGGCGUAAAGCGCGCGUAGGCGGCUGUUUAAGUCGAGGGUGAAAGCCCGGGGCUCAACCCCGGAACGGCCUUCGAGACUGGGCAGCUCGAGACCGGAAGAGGAGGGUGGAAUACCCAGUGUAGAGGUGAAAUUCGUAGAUAUUGGGUGGAACACCAGUGGCGAAAGCGGCUCUCUGGUCCGGAUCUGACGCUGAGGCGCGAAAGCGUGGGGAGCAAACAGGAUUAGAUACCCCCGUAGUCC